rnacentral:rRNA from 1 species
GACAGAGGGGGCAAGCGUUGCUCGGAAUCACUGGGCGUAAAGGGCGCGUAGGCGGGAUGGCAAGUCGGUCGUGAAAUCCUUCGGCCCAACCGAAGAACGUCGGCCGAUACUGCCAUUCUUGAGGGAUGCAGAGGAGACUGGAAUUCCCGGUGUAGCGGUGAAAUGUGUAGAGAUCGGGAGGAACACCGGUGGCGAAGGCGGGUCUCUGGACAGUUCCUGACGCUGAGGCACGAAGGUCAGGGGAGCAAACGGG